rnacentral:rRNA from 1 species
UACGUAGGUGGCAAGCGUUGUCCGGAAUUAUUGGGCGUAAAGCGUGCGCAGGCGGUGAUGUAAGACCGAUGUGAAAUCCCCGGGCUUAACCUGGGAACUGCAUUGGUGACUGCAUUGCUGGAGUAUGGCAGAGGGGGGUAGAAUUCCACGUGUAGCGGUGAAAUGCGUAGAUAUCAGGAGGAACACCGGUGGCGAAGGCGCACAUCUGGCCCGAUACUGACGCUGAGGCGACGAAAGCUAGGGGAGCAAACGGG